AACGCACCUUGCGGUCGCCGGUAAUCCGGCGGCCAUGCCCGUCCGAGCGUCGUUUCGACCCUCGGGAGUUAUCCUCGCAAGAGAAGUUCUCCCGGCCUUGGGCCAGCGCGUUGCGCGGCCCGCAGACCAGCGGCGGCAGUACCGGCGAUGUCCUCUGUGCAGUAGAUUUAUAGAAAACUCGCAUUGGUCCCCGGUAAGGCUUGCCUUGCAACCAACUUCUUUAGGUCGACCUCGGAUCGGGUAGGGAUACCCGCUAAACUUAA
rnacentral:misc_RNA from 1 species